GACGAACGCUGGCGGCGUGCUUAACACAUGCAAGUCGAACGGAAAGGCCCUGCUUUUGUGGGGUGCUCGAGUGGCGAACGGGUGAGUAACACGUGAGUAACCUGCCCUUGACUUUGGGAUAACUUCAGGAAGCUGGGGCUAAUACCGGAUAGGAGCUCCUGCUGCAUGGUGGGGGUUGGAAAGUUUCGGCGGUUGGGGAUGGACUCGCGGCUUAUCAGCUUGUUGGUGGGGUAGUGGCUUACCAAGGCUUUGACGGGUAGCCGGCCUGAGAGGGUGACCGGCCACAUUGGGACUGAGAUACGGCCCAGACUCCUACGGGAGGCAGCAGUGGGGAAUAUUGCACAAUGGGCGGAAGCCUGAUGCAGCAACGCCGCGUGCGGGAUGACGGCCUUCGGGUUGUAAACCGCUUUCGCCUGUGACGAAGCGUGAGUGACUGUAAUGGGUAAAGAAGCACCGGCUAACUACGUG
rnacentral:rRNA from 1 species